AGAAGAGGAACUAUCGGAGGAGGAGGAGGAACUGGAGUCCUGGAGGAAGAAUGGGAAAAUGAUGCUGAAAGGAGACAGUCCAUCUGCAUUGCUGAGAGACCCUUAACUGCUCAUACAGCUUAGAAUAUGAAGGCUUAUAAAGAAGAUCCCAACUGAACAGCUAGUCACACCCUUAUGAAGGCUGAUGUGGUCAAAACAUGUUAGCGUCAGACUGGUUUUUAAAAAUUCUACCUGAUAUGCCAGUUCAACAAAGGUAUUUUAACUCAUUACUCCCUCCAAUGAAAGUGACCUCAUUUUCAUUUAACUAUUUCUUUCUCCAGUGAAAAUGACUUUAAUUGAUCAAAGUCCAGUUUUCUACCCUUUGCACUGCACACAGACUACAUUAUUCUUCUGACACACAGAAUGCAUCACUGUUCCAGGCGAGCAUUCCGUCUGUACCCCCGAAUGUGUCCUUUGUCCCCCGUGCUCCUACCUCUU